AUUGAACGCUGGCGGCAGGCUUAACACAUGCAAGUCGAGCGAGCGGCGGACGGGUGAGUAAUGUCUGGGAACCUGCCUGAUGGAGGGGGAUAACUACUGGAAACGGUAGCUAAUACCGCAUACCAUCAGAUGUGCCCAGAUGGGAUUAGCGAGUGGGGGGGGUAAUGGCUCACCUAGGCGACGAUCCCUAGCUGGUCUGAGAGGAUGACCAGCCACACGGGAACUGAGCCACGGUCAAGACUCCUCCGGGAGGCAGCAGUGGGAAAUAUUGGACAAUGGGCGCAAGCCUGAUGCAGCCAUGCCGCGUGUGUGAAGAAGGCCUUCGGGUGGUAAAGCACUUUCAGCGAGGAGGCGUUACUCGCAGAAGAAGCACCGGCUAACUCCGUGCCAGCAGCCGCUGUAAUAC
rnacentral:rRNA from 1 species